UGAGGAAUAUUGGUCAAUGGGCGAGAGCCUGAACCAGCCAAGUAGCGUGCAGGAUGACGGCCCUAUGGGUUGUAAACUGCUUUUAUAUGGGAAUAAAGUGAGGGACGUGUCCCUUAUUGCAUGUACCAAACGAAUAAGGACCGGCUAAUUCCGUGCCAGCAGCCGCGGUAAUACGGAAGGUCCAGGCGUUAUCCGGAUUUAUUGGGUUUAAAGGGAGCGUAGGCUGUUUGUUAAGCGUGUUGUGAAAUGUAAGAGCUCAACUUUUAGAUUGCAGCGCGAACUGGCAGACUUGAGUGCGCACAACGUAGGCGGAAUUCAUGGUGUAGCGGUGAAAUGCUUAGAUAUCAUGACGAACUCCGAUUGCGAAGGCAGCUUACGGGAGCGCAACUGACGCUAAAGCUCGAAGGUGCGGGUAUCGAACAGG
rnacentral:rRNA from 1 species